UAUAUGUGUCCUUUUUUAUUUUUUUUUUUUCUAGCACUUCAAGCAAUGAUUAUUUUGAUCUUCACAUAUCUACUAGAACCAUAAUGCCCUAUGUGAUAAAAAUUUAUGUUUUACCUAGUGCUAUGAUUGUUUGGUAGAAGUAUCCUGUCCCGUUUUGUCAAACAGAAAAUCUGCCCUAGCCUAAACAAUGUCCUUAAUUGUGUAUCUGGAGUUCAUUUUUCUUCAUUCUCUAAUUCAAGUGGCAUGUUUUCUGAUUAACAUUCUUUAUACAUAUGCUAUUUUGUUUCAGUCAACUUGUAUGUCAAAAUUAAAAAAUUUGCAUUGCCAGCAAUGCCUUUGAUUUUUGGAACAUAUUUUUCUUAUAGAAAAUUGUGUUUUCUAUCUGAGUUUUGCUGUGCUUUGUUUUUAAUUAAAGUUUCAUGAACUUGCUCAGUUUCUUCAUUUCAAUUAUGGUUCAUUAAACAGGUUAGCUGAAGGGGGAAAAUAUUGCACCUUACAAAUAAACAUUUGAUAUUGUUAAUACAAUAUACUACUCAACAUUCUGAUAUUUCUAUGUUGCAUGUGAUAAAGUAGCAUCUUGAUUAUAUGAUUUGGCAGGCAAAAGAAGCUGGUA
rnacentral:misc_RNA from 1 species